UUGUCGGCAGAAGGCUGAUCCGCCGGUGCACCACCGGUAGGAGUAGGUGCUGGUGGUGAAACGACGCCGGCACCGGAUGGUCCCGGCGAUGGAGAAGUUGCGGAAGCAGCCGGAGAUGGAGUUGGUGAAGUAGUAGGAGCGGUAGAAGGUGCCGGAGUUGGUGUCGGAGUUGGAGAUGGAGUUGGAGUUGCGGUCGGCGGUGAUAAUACUGGUGCCGGCGCCGGAGUUGGAGUUGCUGCCGGAGAAAUUUUAGGUGCCGGAGCCGGAGAUUGAGCUAUAGAAGAAGCAACAAAAAAGGCUAAGAAAAGAAAAACUCUAAAAUAAGAAGCCAUUUUUUUGCUCUGUUUUUUUU
rnacentral:lncRNA from 1 species